rnacentral:rRNA from 1 species
AGCGAACGCUGGCGGCAGGCUUAACACAUGCAAGUCGAACGCAUCCUUCGGGGUGAGUGGCAGACGGGUGAGUAACACGUGGGAACGUACCUUUUGGUUCGGAACAACUGAGGGAAACUUCAGCUAAUACCGGAUACGCCCUUAUGGGGAAAGAUUUAUCGCCGAAAGAUCGGCCCGCGUCUGAUUAGCUAGUUGGUGAGGUAAUGGCUCACCAAGGCGACGAUCAGUAGCUGGUCUGAGAGGAUGAUCAGCCACACUGGGACUGAGACACGGCCCAGACUCCUACGGGAGGCAGCAGUGGGGAAUAUUGGACAAUGGGCGCAAGCCUGAUCCAGCCAUGCCGCGUGAGUGAUGAAGGCCUUAGGGUUGUAAAGCUCUUUUAUCCGGGACGAUAAUGACGGUACCGGAAGAAUAAGCCCCGGCUAACUUCGUGCCAGCAGCCGCAGUAAAAC